UUUCCCCACUCCCCCCACCACCCAGAAGUUUUCAAAGGACACAACGACAGAAAAAUGGAGAGUGGAUCAAGAUCAGACUCAUUAUCAACAUGGGACAUGCCAAGUUCAUGUUCCUCCCUGAUAGCUGAGAUAACUUCAGCUUUAUCUGCACCAACUGCAAGCUGGUGUUCAUCUUGGAGGAAGUUUCAAGGGCUGAAAGCAUAGUAUCAACAGAAUGAAGACUUCCUGGAUCAGAGUCACGAGAAGCUGGAGCAGAAGGUGCCAAAGAGUGACAAAGAGAAGUCGCAGCAUGUUACUGCCAAUAGUCACAAAGUGCGGAUUAAGGUAAGAAACUGCUUUCAGGCACUCUGCUGGAGCAAAGGCAUCAGAGGAAACAACAGCUAGCAACUACCAAACAUGGACCACACAUCCCAGAAGGCAGGAAUAUCGUGGCCCUAGGGAUAAGGGUUCCGUGAAGUUGUGAACCUGGCUCAAUAGUGGAUGCAUUCAACAGAUGACAAGUGUUGAUGUGCUACUUGCUUGUGGUUUCUUGUGGCAUCAAAAUGUCAUCUCCCUCUUAUCUGGGCAAAUCUUCAGCCAGUUAGUCUUCAUCCAGACUCUGACUCCUACAAACUCGCAACCACCCACUCUCCCAAAGCCAAGUCUUCAUCAUCAGUAUGCCAGUGUCAUUCAGCACCCCACUAUGGAUCUUUUUGGACUUGGCAGAGAAAAGGAACAUGAGGCACAAAUGGUUGGGUUUACUGCUAUUGAUAACACUGUCUAAUAAUCCCAUGAGGAUGAUAGAUGUCUGUUGUUGCACAGGGUAUGCAUUUUGAGGAAGAAUGGGGUGAAAUAACACAUUUUGUAAAAUGGGCAAGCAGUUAGGUUUCUUCUGAGUGAGGAAGAGGAGUGAAAGGCACAUGAGUCAUAUCUUAGUGAAGAAACUUCCCGGAGAAAGAAUAACAUGAAAGAGAGAAGCGACUUUGUGUUGGGUGUACAAUGAUCUUCAAGUCAGUAUCCCAAUCCUUCUGUUCCCUAUUCAUUACAAAUACUACAGAAACAGUCAAUCUUCAAGCUAAACCAAAAUGUGUUUUCCCAUUCAAGUUGCAAGUACAGCCUGAACUCUGAAAACAUCACUGUGAACAACCUAACUACCAACAUAGCUAUAGGCAGAUCCAUCCAACAUAAUCUGGGAGAAGCAAAUACAUGGGAAAUGGACUUCCUUUUUGAGUAAAGCCAUUACACAGACAGGCCAAGACCACAUGUUAAACUGGCAUGCCCCUUUCAUCAUCAUACACAGAAGCAAUUAUUGUGUACACCAAGUGUCAGAACAAAACUUAAGACUCCAUGCUGUACUGAUACCCAGAUUGUAUUUUCUUGAUCAUUAAUGAACAAAAAAUAUCAUAUUUCAUCCCCUUUUUUCCAACAUCAUUACCACCAAGAGACUGGCAAUCUGGGUGAUGCUGUUAGAGGCGUGAUAGAAUGGGAGCUUCUCUCUUCCGGAACAAGAUGGGUUCUGCAGAGCUGAUAGCGAAUAGCUAAAUUAGAUAGAGUCAACUGAAAUAGUGGUCACCAUUAAAAUGGCCACAGUGCUGUAUUUUUAGGUAAAUGUUACCACAUUAUCUGUGAAAUUCUCUGUAUUUGAUAGAAAGACCACCACAAACAUAAUUAUUAAAGAUUUCUGUAGGGGAAGGCUGUGCCCAGAUCUAGCGGUGACAAUUUAAUCUGCUAGGCACUAUAAAAAAAUAGAACAGAUAACACUCCUUACCACAUAAGCCGUAUCUGCUCUUUAACUUACAAACAGCUAUUUCAAAAGACUAAAAGAUUUUUAAGAUCCUGCCUUGAGGAGGGGGUUGGACUUGAUGACCUUGUGAGGUCCCUUCCAGCCCUGCUUUGAUAUGAUCCUAGGAUGACCAUUGUAUGUACAAAGACACAGGGGUCAAAGUUAUAGACAUUAUUAUUAAUUGUUUGUACUGAGCUGGUAUCCAGAGGCCUCAAUCGGGGAAAAGGGCUCCACUGUGCUAGGUGUUGUAUUCAAAAUUAGUUGAGCCAACACGCAGAUGCAGAGGAGCACAAGAUUCCAGCAAAGUGACUACGAUACAUGUAAUAAGUUACUGUCCAGUUACUAGGCAGACAAAACUCUUGGGAUAGAGUUGAUAUCUUUUAUUAGACUAACUAAAUAGUUGCAAAAUUGUUUUUUUCUUUGCAGGCUUUUGGGUCUACAUUGCUCUUCAUCAGGCAAAAGAGAAUUCAAAGAUUGUAAAAUUUCUCCCAGGUAGAAAAGAAAAUUCAUCGUGCACAGGAGAACUCAGAGAUGGCGGGGUUCCCCUGGAUGAAAAGGCCAGUUUGUAAAAAAGUUGCUCUGCAUCGUGGUGGAGAUGAGUUUUCGGGACUACACUAUAGUGAGACUUUGGGGAUUUACAGCCAACUUCCCCCCAUGCAUAAGGGCUGGUGGGAGAAAAGAUGAAGGUACUUCUAAUGAUUUAAGAAGAAAGGCAGGAUGAAGGAAGCAAGCAAGUCAUGGUAAACAACUCAGUGAAUAAAAAUACAUUUUUUUUAAUUAAAAGAAAACUUUUUU